rnacentral:rRNA from 1 species
CGUAGGCGGAGCUUUAAGUCUGGCCUGAAAGCCCCCGGCUCAACCGGGGAGGGUGGCUGGAAACUGGAGUUCUUGAGGGCGAUAGGGGAGUGUGGAAUUCCUGGUGUAGCGGUGAAAUGCGUAGAGAUCAGGAGGAACACCCGUGGCGAAGGCGGCACUCUGGGUCGGCCCUGACGCUGAGGCGCGAAAGCGUGGGGAGCGAACG